rnacentral:rRNA from 1 species
UACGUAGGGGGCAAGCGUUGUCCGGAUUUAUUGGGCGUAAAGCGUCCGUAGGCGGUUUACCAGGUGGAGUGUGAAAUCCCACGGCUUAACUGUGGACCUGCACUCCAAACCGAUAGACUUGAGUCCAGCAGGGGGAGAUGGAAUUCCUAGUGUAGCGGUGAAAUGCGUAGAUAUUAGGAAGAACACCGGUAGCGAAGGCGGUCUCCUGGGCUGGUACUGACGCUGAGGGACGAAAGCUAGGGGAGCGAACAGG